UUGGAUUCGUCUGAUGGGAAACCGGCGCACGGGUGCGUAACACGUAUGCAACCUACCUAUAACUGGGGUAUAGCUCAGAGAAAUCUGAAUUAAUCCCCCAUAAGAUUAUGUUCUGGCAUCAGGAAGUAAUUAAAGCUGAGGCGGUUAUAGAUGGGCAUGCGUUGCAUUAGCUAGUUGGUGAGGUAAUGGCUCACCAAGGCUACGAUGCAUAGGGGGUCUGAGAGGAUGAUCCCCCACACUGGUACUGAGACACGGACCAGACUCCUACGGGAGGCAGCAGUAGGGAAUAUUGGUCAAUGGACGCAAGUCUGAACCAGCCAUGCCGCGUGCAGGAAGACGGCCCUAUGGGUUGUAAACUGCUUUUAUAUGGGAAGAAACCCCCUGAUGCGUUAGGGGCUGACGGUACCAUAUGAAUAAGGAUCGGCUAACUUCGUGCCAGCAGCCGCGGUAAGACGAAGGAUCCAAGCGUUGUCCGGAUUUACUGGGUUUAAAGGGUGCGUAGGCGGGAAAUUAAGUCAGUGGUGAAAGCCCUCAGCUCAACUGAGGAACUGCCAUUGAAACUGAUUUUCUUGAAUAUGGUUGAGGUAGAUGGAAUAUAACAUGUAGCGGUGAAAUGCUUAGAUAUGUUAUAGAACACCGAUUGCGAAGGCAGUCUGCUAAGCCAUUAUUGACGCUGAGGCACGAAAGCGUGGGGAGCAAACAGGAUUAGAUACCCUGNUAGUCCACGCCCUAAACGUUGAUUACUCGCUGUUGGCGAUACACUGUCAGCGGCUAAGCGAAAGCGUUAAGUAAUCCACCUGGGAAGUACGUCCGCAAGGAUGAAACUCAAAGGAAUUGACGGGGGCCCGCACAAGCGGANGAGCAUGUGGUUU
rnacentral:rRNA from 1 species